rnacentral:rRNA from 1 species
AUUGAACGCUGGCGGCAGGCCUAACACAUGCAAGUCGAACGGUAACAGGAAACAGCUUGCUGUUUCGCUGACGAGUGGCGGACGGGUGAGUAAUGUCUGGGAAACUGCCUGAUGGAGGGGGAUAACUACUGGAAACGGUAGCUAAUACUGCAUAACGUCGCAAGACCAAAGAGGGGGACCUUCGGGCCUCUUGCCAUCAGAUGUGCCCAGAUGGGAUUAGCUAGUAGGUGGGGUAACGGCUCACCUAGGCGACGAUCCCUAGCUGGUCUGAGAGGAUGACCAGCCACACUGGAACUGAGACACGGUCCAGACUCCUACGGGAGGCAGCAGUGGGGAAUAUUGCACAAUGGGCGCAAGCCUGAUGCAGCCAUGCCGCGUGUAUGAAGAAGGCCUUCGGGUUGUAAAGUACUUUCAGCGGGGAGGAAGGGAGUAAAGUUAAUACCUUUGCUCAUUGACGUUACCCGCAGAAGAAGCACCGGCUAACUCGGUG